AGUGGUUUUUUUUAGAAGGUCUCAAACUUUUCGUUUGAGAAAAAUAUAAAAUCUCGUAAAAUACAGAACAGAAAAUUAAUAAAUAUUGCAUCUAUCAUCGAUCAAACAAGACUGCGUAAAGAUAACUUUUUAAAUUAAUUUGUUGUACUAGAAUAAUCCGAAGAUAUUUUUUCAUAAGCUUUGUACUUUUUAAUGGAAAGUUGAUUACAUAAAUAGGAAAGGAUAAGUAUAACAUUUUCUUCACCGAAUAGAUAAGAAUUUUAUAAUUCCUGAAAUUCCUUACGAAUUCCUACAAUUUAUUAAUUUAUUAAUAUCCUAAAUUGAUUUCACUUCUCGUAAAAUAAUUUCUGAUUUAAAAAUGAAUGAUGCAGCGACUAAACUAUCUAAUUUCCCGGAAAUGAGGUCGUUUAUGAAAUGAAAUUUGUCCAAUAAACAGUCUGUUAUUUAUAGCACCGAUGAUUUCACUAUCUAAGGUUGUUUGUCGACACUACUCUGUUUAUUUUUGGAUGCGGAAUAUCGUGAAUAUUGCAUUGAUAACAUCUUUUUCGAAACAGAGAUCGCAAAGAUUUUUCAUGAAUAUUAAUUGCGGAGCAAUGAAAACCAUUUUACACAAUACCGUCAACCGUUUUUACGAUAUAUUGUUCUCGUCGUUAAACAACCGACGUUCGUACGAAUCGAGAUUUUUAACGACCGUUUUUUUACUGGAACGAGACACGAACGAUACAUUUCCUUCAUUAAUAAUCUCAAAAUGUAAUUUGCCGUAAAUGCUGUGUACGCGUGAAAAUGGCUUUCUCAUGAUCGUUAAGUGGGAUUUUAUGUAACACGGAAAUCUCGUCUAACAACAAGCAUCCAUACAUACACGUUUCUGACAAGCGCGUCAAACAGAUAGGAAAAACACAACACCGAAGCAACAUCAUUCGUACCAUUGAUAUAAUCGCGCGACUUCGGCGAUGGGUUCACGUGAAUUAUCACUGGUUUCACCGUGUCCACCAUUGUCUGAAUGCUCAACUCACGCACAGGCCUUUCCUCGCCGAUAUAUUAAUUUAACGAUGCGAAAGAUCGACAAAUUCUAUCCAGAUCUCCAGUCUCGACGAGUUCGGCGCGAAUGCGGCCGAAUCCGUUUGACAUUCUUAUUUACUGGUAACAUAGAACCACUGACGGGCAACCGGUUCUAGGUCUACGAAGUACGCAUGUUCUACGAGCAUUAAGCCUAGAAAAGUGGAUCGGAGGCCAAUCGUUGCGAAAAUGCGAAAUAUAUGCUUCCUUUCCCAUUCCGAAAACUUCCGA